rnacentral:tRNA from 2 species
GCGGAAACACAGGGAAACGACUUCAUACAUCCUUGCCAAGGUUGGGGUCGAGGGUUCGAAUCCCUUCGCCCGCUCCA